rnacentral:rRNA from 1 species
UACUCAGUGGCGAACGGGUGAGUAACACGUGGGUGAUCUGCCUUGCACUCUGGGAUAAGCUUGGGAAACUGGGUCUAAUACCGGAUAGGAACCGUCUUUAGUGUGGUGGUUGGAAAGUUUUUUCGGUGCAAGAUGAGCUCGCGGCCUAUCAGCUUGUUGGUGGGGUAAUGGCCUACCAAGGCGUCGACGGGUAGCCGGCCUGAGAGGGUGUACGGCCACAUUGGGACUGAGAUACGGCCCAG